AACCAGGAUGUUGGCUUAGAAGCAGCCACUCAUUCAAAGAGUGCGUAAUAGCUCACUGGUCGAGUGAUCCUGCGCCGAAGAUUUCCGGGGCUAAAACUUACUACCGAAGCUACGGCAUCAGUAAUGAUGGGUAGGGGAGCUUCCCAUACGGGUUGAAGCAUGACCGUAAGGACAUGUGGACAGUAUGGGAGUGAGAAUGUUGGCAUGAGUAGCGAGAUGUGGGUGAGAAUCCCACAGGCCGUAAACCUAAGGUUUCCAGGGGAAGGUUCGUCCGCCCUGGGUUAGUCGGGACCUAAGCUGAGGCCGAAAGGCGUAGGUGAUGGACAACAGGUUGAUAUUCCUGUACUACCGAUAACCGUUUGAGAGAAGGGAUGACACAGUAGGAUAAGCUAAGCACACUGUUGGUUAU
rnacentral:rRNA from 1 species